rnacentral:tRNA from 1 species
GGGAGAGUAGCUCAAUGGUAGAGCACUUGCCUAGAAUAUAAAAGGCCCUGGGUUUAAUCCCCAGCACUGCAA